ACAGCCAUAUCAAGUUGAAACACCGAUUCCCAUAUGAUAACCAAAGUUAAGCAAUGUAGAGUCUGGUCAGUACCUAGAUGGGUGACCACUUUAGGAAUACCACAUGCAGU